AUUGAACGCUGGCGGCGGGCUUAACACAUGCAAGUCGAGCGGGGUGAUGGUGCUUGCACUAUCACUUAGCGGCGGACGGGUGAGUAAUGCUUAGGAAUCUGCCUAUUAGUGGGGGACAACAUCUCGAAAGGGAUGCUAAUACCGCAUACGUCCUACGGGAGAAAGCAGGGGAUCACUUGUGACCUUGCGCUAAUAGAUGCGCCUAAGUCGGAUUAGCUAGUUGGUGGGGUAAAGGCCUACCCAGGCGACGAUCUGUAGCGCGUCUGAGAGGAGGGUCCGCCAAACUGGGACUGAGACACGGCACAGAUUCCUACGGGAGGCGGCAGUGGGGGAUAUUGGACAAGUGGGGGAACCUUGAUCCAGCCAUGCCGCGUGUGUGAAGAAAGCCUUAUGGUUGUAAAGCACUUUUAGCGAGGAGGAGGCUCUUUUGGUUAAUACCCAAGAUGAGUGGACGUUACUCGCAGAAUAAGCACCGGCUAACUCUGUGCCAGCCGCCGCUGUAACAC
rnacentral:rRNA from 1 species